UACAGAGGUCUCGAGCGUUGUUCGGAUUCAUUGGGCGUAAAGGGUGCGUAGGUGGCGUGGUAAGUCUGGUGUGAAAUCCCGGGGCUCAACCCCGGAACUGCACUGGAUACUGCCAUGCUUGAGUACUGGAGAGGAGAUUGGAAUUUACGGUGUAGCAGUGAAAUGCGUAGAUAUCGUAAGGAAGACCAGUAGCGAAGGCGAAUCUCUGGACAGUUACUGACACUGAGGCACGAAGGCCAGGGGAGCAAACGGG
rnacentral:rRNA from 1 species